CGUGGUAGCUCACUGGGUAGAGCAUCAGGCUACUAACCUGACGGUAGCGGGUUCGAAUCCCGUCCACACGA
rnacentral:tRNA from 1 species